UACGGAGGGGGCUAGCGUUGUUCGGAAUUACUGGGCGUAAAGCGUACGUAGGCGGCUUUGUAAGUUAGAGGUGAAAGCCUGGAGCUCAACUCCAGAACUGCCUUUAAGACUGCAUCGCUUGAAUCCAGGAGAGGUGAGUGGAAUUCCGAGUGUAGAGGUGAAAUUCGUAGAUAUUCGGAAGAACACCAGUGGCGAAGGCGGCUCACUGGACUGGUAUUGACGCUGAGGUACGAAAGCGUGGGGAGCAAACAGG
rnacentral:rRNA from 1 species